UACGUAGGGACCAAGCGUUGUUCGGAUUUACUGGGCGUAAAGGGCGCGUAGGCGGCGUGGUAAGUCAGCUGUGAAAUCUCCGAGCUUAACUCGGAACGGUCAGCUGAUACUGCUGUGCUAGAGUGCAGAAGGGGCAAUCGGAAUUCUUGGUGUAGCGGUGAAAUGCGUAGAUAUCAAGAGGAACACCUGAGGUGAAGACGGGUUGCUGGGCUGACACUGACGCUGAGGCGCGAAAGCGUGGGGAGCAAACAGG
rnacentral:rRNA from 1 species